UACGGAGGGUGCGAGCGUUGUCCGGAAUUACUGGGCGUAAAGCGCGCGUAGGCGGACCUGCAAGUCGGGGGUGAAAGCCCGAGGCUCAACCUCGGAACUGCCUUUGAUACUGAGGAUCUUGAGUUCGGGAGAGGUGAGUGGAACUGCGAGUGUAGAGGUGAAAUUCGUAGAUAUUCGCAAGAACACCAGUGGCGAAGGCGGCUCACUGGCCCGAUACUGACGCUGAGGCACGAAAGCGUGGGGAGCAAACAGG
rnacentral:rRNA from 1 species